rnacentral:tRNA from 1 species
UCCCGUGUGGCUCAGUUGGUAGAGCAUGGUGUUUGCAACGCCAGGGUUGUGGGUUCGAUUCCCACAGGGAA